GGCUCAGGACGAACGCUGGCGGCGUGCCUAACACAUGCAAGUCGAGCGGAGUCAGUAAGAGGAGUUUCGGAUGGAAUCUGUGAUUAGCGGCGGACGGGUGAGUAACGCGUGAGCGACCAACCUUGCACAGGGGGGAUAACGGACCGAAAGGUUCACUAAUACCGCAUGAGACCACGGUGUUGCAUGACACAGAGGUCAAAAGGAGCAAUCCGGGUGCAAGACGGGCUCGCGUCCGAUUAGGUAGUUGGAGGGGUAACGGCCCACCAAGCCUAUGAUCGGUAGCCGACCUGAGAGGGUGAUCGGCCACAUUGGAACUGAGAUACGGUCCAAACUCCUACGGGAGGCAGCAGUGGGGAAUAUUGGGCAAUGGGGGGAAAAACCCCUGACCCAGCAACGCCGCGUGAAGGAAGAAGGUUUUCGGAUUGUAAACUUCUGUCCUUGGUGAAGAGAAGAAGACGGUAGCCAAGGAGGAAGCCCCGGCUAACUACGUGCCAGCCGCAGC
rnacentral:rRNA from 1 species